rnacentral:rRNA from 1 species
AUAAUAAGGCAUCUUGUUGUAAUUAAAGCUAUGGCGGAUAAGGAUGAGCGUGCGCAAGAUUUAGCUAGUUGGUGAGGUAACGGCUCACCAAGGCGACGAUCUUUAGCUGAUGUGAGAGCAUGAUCAGCCACACGGGCACUGAGACACGGGCCCGACUCCUACGGGAGGCAGCUAGUGAGGAAUAUUGGUCAAUGGACGGAAGUCUGAACCAGCCAUGCCGCGUGAAGGAUGAAGGCGUUCUGCGUUGUAAACUUCUUUUAUUUAGGAAGAAACCACCGAUUUCUAUUGGUGUUGACGGUAUUAAAUGAAUAAGCACCGGCUAACUCCGUG